rnacentral:rRNA from 1 species
AGGGUGUAAACGCUGCAGACUUGGUGUUGGAAGUCCUUUGGGGGCAUUCAGUGCCGGAGAGAAGUUGUUAAGUCUGCUACUUGGGGAGUACGUCCGCAAGGAUGAAACUUAAAGGAAUUGGCGGGGGAGGCACCGCAACGGGAGGAGCGUGCGGUUUAAUUGGAUUCAACACCGUAAACUCACCAGGGAAGACUGUUACAUGAAAGCCGAGAUGAAGACUCUGCUAGAUUUUUCAGAGAGGUGGUGCAUGGCGUAGACGUCU